GACGAACGCUGGCGGCAGGCCUAACACAUGCAAGUCGAGCGGAGAGGCGGACGGGUGAGUAAUGCCUAGGAAUCUGCCUGGUAGUGGGGGAUAACGUCCGGAAACGGGCGCUAAUACCGCAUACUAUCAGAUGAGCCUAGGGCGGAUUAGCUAGUGGGUGGGGUAAAGGCCUAACAAGGCGACGAUCCGUAACUGGUCUGAGAGGAUGAUCAGUCACACUGGAACUGAGUCACGGUCCAGACUCCUACGGGAGGCAGCAGUGGGGAAUAUUGGGCAAUGGGCGAAAGCCUGAUCCAGCCCUGCCGCGUGUGUGCAGAAGGUCUUCGGAUUGUAAAGCACUUUAAGUUGGUAGGCGUUACCAAAAGAAUAAGCACCGGCUAACUUCGUGCCAGCAGCCGCGGUAAUAC
rnacentral:rRNA from 1 species